rnacentral:hammerhead_ribozyme from 1 species
AUCCAACUGACGAAUCUCAAAUAGGAUGAAAUGCAUAUCCUGGAU